UGGGGAAUAUUGGGCAAUGGGGGAAACCCUGACCCAGCAACGCCGCGUGAAGGAAGAAGGUCUUCGGAUCGUAAACUUCUAUCCUUGGUGAAGAUAAUGACGGUAGCCAAGAAGGAAGCCCCGGCUAACUACGUGCCAGCAGCCGCGGUAAUACGUAGGGGGCAAGCGUUGUCCGGAAUGAUUGGGCGUAAAGGGCGCGUAGGCGGCCUGGUAAGUCUGGAGUGAAAGUCCUGCUUUUAAGGUGGGAAUGGCGUUGGAUACUGUCGGGCUUGAGUGCAGGAGAGGUAAGUGGAAUUCCCGGUGUAGCGGUGAAAUGCGUAGAGAUCGGGAGGAACACCAGUGGCGAAGGCGACUUACUGGACUGUAACUGACGCUGAGGCGCGAAAGUGUGGGGAGCAAACA
rnacentral:rRNA from 1 species